GGAUAGAGUUAACUGCUGAGUAUUAACCCUAGCAGAUACUAAAAAUGGCCACUCCAAACACCACCCCCCAACCCCCACCACCUGCUUUCUUUCUUGCUUGCUGGAAAAACCCUGAUUUCAAGAUGGAAUACUUAUCUGAACAAGUCAAAUACUAUAAUUCUAUCUCCUUGUCUGUGACUGGUAGGCAUGGGCAUGUGAUACAGUUCUGGUCAGUGAGUUACAAGGUGGUUCACGGGCAGGUUUUCCUGCAGAGGAAGGGAUGCAUUUUUUUAUGCAUGGUUGUGGGAGACAGGAUGUGAUGUCUGAGCUGCAGCAGCCACCUGGAGUUCAAGAGGAAGCAAACCUGAGGACAAAAUCCACCAUGCUGAGGAUGAAAGAGCAGAACAGUGGAAACCACCUGGGUGCUUAUGCUGUGCUGAACAAACCAGUCUUGGAUCCCGAGACUUCUGGAUUUCUUGUUAAAUAUUCAGAAUCAAAUGAGAGAAAUCAACCAAAGACACCCAACCUGGAUCUGGAAUGAGCAAACGACUGACCAUGCAGAUAACUGGUUGUGACUUUUAUCCAUCUACGACUCCAGUCAUCCACCUAUCAUCCAGAUCCACAGAUGGAUGACGACACUACAGUCUCCUGGGAGAUCAGCCAGGCAGCACGGAAGCAAAUGGAGCACAAGAAUGUAAACUAGUACGGCCAGAAUCUGCAGAGCCACCAAAAAAUACUUACACUUGUACAGCAGAGAGUCUCCAUGCAGCAAAAAGAAAGGAAAAAAAAAAAUUUGAAUGGAAGAGAAAUAAAGCAACAGCAUUACAAGAAAUGGGGAGGGAGAGACACCAUACACAAAUAAACAGAAAAGCUACAUAAAAAGCCUUCAUAGCAAAGGAAUGAGGCAAGAAUGAGGCCAAACUAUUAUUAGCUUAAGGCAUCCAACCUAGCUUUUCUUAAGCAGAAGCACAAUUACAGCUUGAAAACUGCAGAAACUCUUAGAGAUAUUACCUCUUCUGCUAAGUGCAUGCAAAAUGCCAUCUACCAACCCCGUAAGGUAUUAAUCCCACUUGGGAGAUGGAGAUGUCAUCAGCUCCAAAGGCACAUGGUAGACAGAACACUGGAUGGACAUUAGCAAACACCAUGCAGGUGUUGGUUCUUGGGCCACAGGGCUAGUCCCAGCAACUAAGUGGGGACAACAUGUCUUCGGGCACAUGUAAGCAUCCCUUCUGGGGGUCUUUACAUCAUUCUGUCCUCCCCACUGUAGCAGCAGCUUUGAGUUCUCUCUCCCCCUCAGUCAUCAGAGCAUUUCGGGCAAGGAUCUGAUACCAGGACCUAGCACAGUUACCUACCUAUAGUGUCAUUAACAUUGAUAGUACCUUAUACCUCAGUGGGAAUUUAGGUCACCUUACAUUUCACAUUAAAUCUCUAAUUAAAGAAUUUUUAAAACCUCA